UGGUAAAUUGUGUUCAUGUCUGUCUUUUAGAGAUUUUUCCACAUUUUCCUGAUGUGAAUGCCAUGCAUUAGAGUCAUCGAGGAUCCAGCUUAUUAUUGGCAAAUUGGACAGUACAGAAAGCGCACAAGUGGGAGAGAGAGGAGGGGACAGCAUCAGAAAGGACCUAGAGUUGGGACACUUUCAAGGAUCACCCGAAGCACAACCACGCUAUAUGCACAAGGCUGUUGGUUCUAACAUUUUAGGGUACCCCUUAAUUACCCCUUAAAAAUUACGUUUCGCAUUCCCCACGUUAGAAAUUGCGUUCCCCCCUCAAA